ACAUUAGAAUGAUGCUAAUACCCAUAUGCUUUGAGUGAAUGGAUUUAUAUUUAUCUGCCUAAAGAGAAGCUCGCGGCUGAUUAGCUUGUUGGUAAGGUAAGAGCUUACCAAGGCGACGAUCAGUAUCUGGUUUGAGAGGACGAUCAGACACACUGGAACUUAGACACGGUCCAGACUCCUACGGGAGGCAGCAGUGGGGAAUUUUCCGCAAUGGGCGAAAGCNUGACGGAGCAAUACCGCGUGAGGGAAGACUGCCUAUGGGUUGUAAACCUCUUUUUUCAGGGAGGAAUAAAAUGACGUGUACCUGAAGAAUGGC
rnacentral:rRNA from 1 species